rnacentral:rRNA from 1 species
GAUGAACGCUGGCGGCGUGCCUAAUACAUGCAAGUCGAGCGAACAGACGAGGAGCUUGCUCCUCUGACGUUAGCGGCGGACGGGUGAGUAACACGUGGAUAACCUACCUAUAAGACUGGGAUAACUUCGGGAAACCGGAGCUAAUACCGGAUAAUAUAUUGAACCGCAUGGUUCAAUAGUGAAAGACGGUUUUGCUGUCACUUAUAGAUGGAUCCGCGCCGCAUUAGCUAGUUGGUAAGGUAACGGCUUACCAAGGCAACGAUGCGUAGCCGACCUGAGAGGGGGAUCGGCCACACUGGAGCUGAGACACGGUCCAGACGACUACGGGAGGGAGCAGUAGGGAAUCUUCCGCAAUGGGCGAAAGCCUGACGGAGCAACGCCGCGUGAGUGAUGAAGGUCUUCGGAUCGUAAAACUCUGUUAUUAGGGAAGAACAAAUGUGUAAGUAACUAUGCACGUCUUGACGGUACCUAAUCAGAAAGCCACGGCUAACUACGUG